CUUUCAGCAACGGAUCUCUUGGCUCCGGCCUCGAUGAAGAACGCAGCGAAAUGCGAUAAGUAAUGUGAAUCGCAGACUCCAGUGAAUCAUCGAAUCUUUGAACGCACAUUGCGCCCCCUGGCAUCCCGGGGGGCAUGCCCGUCCGAGCGUC
rnacentral:rRNA from 1 species